AUUGAACGCUGGCGGUAGGCCUAACACAUGCAAGUCGAACGAGUGGCGGACGGGUGAGUAAUGUCUGGGAAACUGCCUGAUGGAGGGGGAUAACUAAUGGAAACGGUAGCUAAUACCGCAUACCAUAAGAUGUGCCCAGAUGGGAUUAGCUAGUUGGUGGGGUAACGGCUCACAAAGGCGACGAUCCCUAGCUGGUCUGAGAGGAUGACCAGCCACACUGGCACUGAAGCCCGGUCCCGACUCCUACGGGAGGCAGCAGUGGUGAAUAUUGCACAAUGGGCGCAAGCCUGAUGCAGCCCUGCCGCGUGUAUGAAGAAGGCCUUCGGGUUGUAAAGUACUUUCAGCAGGGAGGCGUUACCCUCAGAAGAAGCACCGGCUAACUCCGUGCCAACCGCCGGGGUAAUUC
rnacentral:rRNA from 1 species